GAUGGUGUAGCUCAGUGGUAGAGUGCCUGCCUAGCAUGCAUGAGGUCCUGAAUUCCAUCCCCAGUACCUCA
rnacentral:tRNA from 1 species